rnacentral:lncRNA from 1 species
AGCAGCGGAGGAGAAGCCUGUUACGCAAGAGAAGCACCACUGGAUCCAGCUUUCACAGGGAGUGGAGCUUAGAAGUGAGCCUGGUAUAUUUCCCGAAGAAGCCUUUGUAACGGCGAUGACGUCCUUUAAGAGGGGAAGCUUCGCGGAAAGCUCAAGUCCCAGAGCGGACGGCCGUGCACUGUGCCCCGCGCGGGACGUCUGCUAGGGGUCGGCGUGGCCGCCAAAGGAGAGGAACCAAGAGUGGCGCUUGCUCAACAAAGUACUGCUGCGCCAACGCGGUCCAAGUCCUCGCGGCAGGGCGGCGCUGGAGUGUGCUCGCCGUCCCAGCGAGGCGCCUACGCCCGCCAAGGCUCGGCGCCGUUCCGAGUGGGCGCACUGCGUGACACACGCGGUCUCCUCUGCGUGCACGCGAAACGCUCACGUCUGUGCACACCGAGCUUGUUUCUCCAACGGCCACGAGCCACUUACUUCACACACAUGCAGACACACACACACCUUCCCACUUGUGAUUGCACCGAGUGAGCUGCUGCCCUAAAUACUCCGACAGCCAUUCAUCACUGAAAAGUUUACCGGCGUUCAAUACAGACAUUAUGUAAAUAGUGUAAAUAUCCUGGACGUGGAAUCAAAAGACACACUGCCUCGCCUUGAGGAGCGAUCGAACGCUUCAUUAGUGAAGUCAAAGAAGAUGAAAGAAGUACUAGGGUGCGGGAAAGUGAGCGGACAUUACAGCUAUGUCAGCUGGUUGGAGCGAAGCGGCCAUCGGAAAUAGUCCUCAAUCCCUCUCUCCCCAAAUCCUUCUUUUAAUUAAUCGUUAUUGUCGUCAUUGUAGCUCUCGUAUUCUGUUUAAUCGUUGCAGUAAAACGUGAGCAUGAUCCGAGCAGCUAGGGGUGUUAGCAGGCAGAUCCAGGCUGGAGCUUCGUUUGAGCCGAAUGAGCAGGGAGAAAGCGCUUUCGCCAGACAUUUGGGAAAGGAGUGCAGUGGCCAAUCGCGGACAGCUAGUGUGCCAGUGGUAAAGCGCGUUUUGGACGCAAAUGUGUGACCCACUCGCAGCUACCCUACAUGGGGACAGCGGAGCGUUCUCGGCGCAUCAUCACUGCAAUGCAUCGCCGUAAUCGGCCAAAAGCGCCCACCUAGAAAUUACCUCGAUGGACCCGCGACUAUGGCUCGUGGUCGUCUCACUCGAGCACGCACUUUCGCUGGCGAAAUGAAGUUAAUGUUUCGGCAAGUGUGGGAGUUUUUCAUUUCUUUCGUGUCUGUGCUAUUUUGCGGACAGUGUGCAGAGUGAGCCGUGGAUACUGAACGCUGGUGGGAGAAGUCGCGUAUAUAUACUAGGGAAAGCUUGCCUAUGUUGUUGAGUAUUUUUGUUAUCUCAGGUUUUCAUCGUUAUCCUAUGCGAAUGCUUAAAAAAAUCCUCUAAGGUUUGUAUAACUAUGUAGAUGUUGCUGCAACUAAUUACGUAGCAGUUUUUAAUUGCUCAGCCAGCAUCAUUUGGCCGAAAGUGCUUCCAGGGUGAUUAUCUGGUUGCCGCGCUGUCCAAACCUCUGUCCAUGUGAUUUACGAAAGCUGCUUGCCUGGGUGCAGUAAGGUUUCGUAGACUCGUUCCGUUUUUUUGGUAUAUUAGUAACUGGUUGUUUCAAUGUCGUUGCGAUGAGUGGAAAAAGGAAAUGAGACUCACACUCACUAGAGUUGCACUAGCGACCGAUUGCGUAUUGUGAGGCGUAAAGUCCGCCACCACAUGCCGCUGCAGUGGCGGGCAUUCUGUCAAUGCACUCGGACACCAUGCGACCAGCAAAUAACGCGAAUACCAUCUGCGUCUUUUAUUUCGCAGUAUUCAAUUCUGCGUUAGUCAAUCAGCGGGCACUGGAAGUGAUACGGCGCUGUCAGUUUCAGUUUAUUAUCCAUUCAACAAGCAAUGAUUAUUUACAGAUAGUUUGCAGACGGAGGCUCUAUUUGCGUGUGACUAAUCUUGCCCAUGCAACAAGCUAGCACAGUAGCGUGCCUACUGGUUCCUACGAAUUGACUUCACCUUUUUGCUUUAUUGUGAUAGUAAAUAUAUGGACACCCCAAAUAAAUUUGCGUCGUCAUCGUCCACGUCGCGAUGUCCCGUAAGGAUGGUGGCUUGAUGCAAGCUGUAUUACGGCGCACCUAAUGUUGCAAGGCACGUGAUCAAGCGCAUUAGGGGAGAAGAGCGCGCCGCUUCUCCUCUAGUCCUGCCGCGGCUGCGCAUGGCUUUCCCCAUGGCUGAGCGCUUAGUCAGGCAUAGGCAGCCCGUGCACCUUAUAAUAGAGGCAAUCUGCAGCUAGUGCAAAGAUUGUGCACCGAGAUGGCUGGUGGCUUUAUGCACUCUGUCUUGGCGCUCCCGUAGUGUUCCAGGUCGCGUAAUCUCAAGUUUAGGAGACGCAUCGAAGUGAGCGGCACCGCGAAGCUUAUCUCCCCGCUGCCACGCCUCUUCAUUACGGCAGCGUUCUGGCACUGAAUGCUCGCGGUCAUCGAGUGAGAUCUCAUCAUGUUUGCCUGCGCGUGCUUGGCAAUUUAAUUGGCAAGGGAAUCUUUGCUGCAAUUUACAUGACCAACAAAAGUACGAACCUUACUUACUGUUUAUGUCUAAUACGCUGCUAUCGCUAUCAGUGCUUUUGGGCGACACUACAACAUUUCUGCCUUAUCACUGAUUUAUGGCUCCUAUAGCAGAUUUUGGGGCCCGUGUCCGAAUUUGUAUUUUUGCCGUUGGGUGGGUACUGAAAGCGAUCUAUCCACAUUACGACAUUCAUUUUCGGCAUUCAAUAUGGGAGUAUCUGAUUUACGAUCAGAGCUGCUUUAUUAAAUGGAGAUAGUCAAGACGGAGAGGCAUUGUUUGGGAGGUUGCAGUGGGGGGUUUAGCGUUUCCAGACCUCCGUCUAUGUCCGUUUCUUCAUGAGGGACAGCGAUUCUGGUCGGAGUAGAACGGGUAUUCGAGAGUCGCGUUUGUCUAGACCAGCUGACGUACGGAUUUGGACUGUCGCCUUUAUACAGGGUUAUCUGCUAAACAUAGUGGAUUUAGUGUGUGUUUUGUUGCGAAAAUUUUCUCUCCGCUUAUAUUUUACUUCAUAAGCAAAUGUUUGCAUGAAUAUUUUCAGCGCCUAAGCGUAUUCUUAAUGCUGUUUCAGCAGAAACUUUUAACGAAAAAGAAAA